UACAGAGGGGGCAAGCGUUGUUCGGAAUUACUGGGCGUAAAGGGCGCGUAGGCGGCCUGCUAAGUCGAACGUGAAAUCCCCGAGCUCAACUCGGGAACUGCGUCCGAUACUGGAAGGCUUGAAUCCGGGAGAGGGAUGCGGAAUUCCAGGUGUAGCGGUGAAAUGCGUAGAUAUCUGGAGGAACACCGGUGGCGAAGGCGGCAUCCUGGACCGGCAUUGACGCUGAGGCGCGAAAGCCAGGGGAGCAAACGGG
rnacentral:rRNA from 1 species